rnacentral:rRNA from 1 species
GUGAAAUUGUUGAAAGGGAAACGAUUGAAGCCAGUCGUACCUGCGGGUAAUCAGCCUUUUGGGUGUGAUUAUGUGGAGCGUGAGGAGCUAAACACCCUCAUCUUUGCAUAUUCGUGCACUUUGGGUGUACUUGCUCGUGUGGUAGGUUAACAUCAAUUUUGAUCGUCAUAAAAUGGCUAGAGGAAUGUAGCUUCGAUCCCGUAUUGAAGUGUUAUAGCCUUUGGUAGAUGUGAUGAUUAGGAUUGAGGAUUGCAACGGAUACCCUUCGGGGCUACCUGUCUGAUCUCUGAUACGUUGCCUUGAUGUUGAAAGCUUGCUUAUGAUGUUAGGGUAUUACGGUCAAAAGGUUAGAACGAAUUACAUUCGUUAAGGAUGUUGACGUAAUGGCUUUAAACGAC